rnacentral:rRNA from 1 species
AACGAACGCUGGCGGCAUGCCUAACACAUGCAAGUCGAACGAGACCUUCGGGUCUAGUGGCGCACGGGUGCGUAACGCGUGGGAACCUGCCCUUAGGUUCGGAAUAACUCCCCGAAAGGGGUGCUAAUACCGGAUAAUGUCUUCGGACCAAAGAUUUAUCGCCUUUGGAUGGGCCCGCGUUGGAUUAGCUAGUUGGUAGGGUAAAAGCCUACCAAGGCGACGAUCCAUAGCUGGUCUGAGAGGAUGAUCAGCCACACUGGGACUGAGACACGGCCCAGACUCCUACGGGAGGCAGCAGUGGGGAAUAGUGGACAAUGGGCGAAAGCCUGAUCCAGCAAUGCCGCGUGAGUGAUGAAGGCCUUAGGGUUGUAAAGCUCUUUUACCCGGGAUGAUAAUGACAGUACCGGGAGAAUAAGCCCCGGCUAACUCCGUG